rnacentral:rRNA from 1 species
GAAUAUUGGACAAUGGGCGCAAGCCUGAUCCAGCCAUGCCGCGUGUGUGAAGAAGGCCUUCGGGUUGUAAAGCACUUUCAGCGAGGAGGAAGGGUGUUGUGUUAAUAGCACAGCAUUUUGAGGUUACUCGCGGAAGAAGCACCGGCUAACUCCGUGCCAGCAGCCGCGGUAAUACGGAGGGUGCAAGCGUUAAUCGGAAUUACUGGGCGUAAAGCGGGCGUAGGCGGGUUGUUAAGUCAGAUGUGAAAUCCCAGGGCUCAACCUGGGAAUGGCAUUUGAGACUGGCAGGCUAGAGUGUGGUAGAGGUGAGUGGAAUUUCAGGUGUAGCGGUGAAAUGCGUAGAGAUCUGAAGGAACAUCAGUGGCGAAGGCGACUCACUGGGCCAUUACUGACGCUGAGGUGCGAAAGCGUGGGUAGCAUACAGG